rnacentral:rRNA from 1 species
CUAGACGGGAUGAAUAUUCUAAGGCGCUCGGGUGAGCCGUGGAGAAGGAACUAGGCAAAUUGACGCUGUAACUUCGGGAUAAAGCGUACCGCAGCGAUGCGGUCACAGUAAAAUGGUUCAACCAACUGUUUAACAAAAACACAGGGCCCUGCAAAAUCGAAAGAUGACGUAUAGAGCCUGAAACCUGCCCGGUGCCGGAAGGUUAAGGAAGGGUGUUCGGACGCAAGUCCAAAGCUCCUGACUGAAGCCCCGGUAAACGGCGGCCGUAACUAUAACGGUCCUAAGGUAGCGAAAUUCCUUGUCGGGUAAGUUCCGACCUGCACGAAUGGUCUAAUGAGUUGAACACUGUCUCCUCCACGAGCCCGGUGAAAUUGUAGUAUCGGUGAAGAUGCCGGUUACCCGCCACGGGACGGAAAGACCCCGUGAACCUUCACUACAACUUUGCAUUGAUUUUGAGCAACCGAUGUGUAGGAUAGUUGGGAGACUUCGAAGCAGUGUCGCUAGGCAUUGUGGAGUCAACGUUGAAAUACCAACCUUCGUUUGCUUAGAACCUAACCCAUUUUUGGGAACAGUGCAUGGUGGGUAGUUUGACUGGGGUGGUCGCCUCCUAAAAAGUAACGGAGGCUUGCAAAGGUACCCUCAGUACGGUUGGUAAUCGUACAUAGAGCGCAUUAGUAUAAGGGUGCUUGACUGUGAGGCAUACAGGCCGAGCAGGUGCGAAAGCAGGCUAAAGUGAUCCGGUGGUUCUGUAUGGAAGGGCCAUCGCUCAAAGGAUAAAAGGUACUCCGGAUAACAGGCUGAUCUUACCCAAGAGCUCAUAUCGACGGUAAGGUUUGGCACCUCGAUGUCGGUUCGUCACAUCCUGGGGCUGGAGAAGGUCCCAAGGGUUCGGCUGUUCGCCGAUUAAAGUGGCACGUGAACUGGGUUCAGAACGUCGCAAGACAGUUCGGUCCCUAUCUGUGGUGGGCGCUAGUAAAUUGAGAGGACGUGACCUUAGUACGAGAGGACCGGGUCGCAUGUACCGCUGGUGUAUCUGUUGUGGUGCCAACUGCAAUGCAGAGUAGCUAUGUACAGCCAGGAUAAACGCUGAAAGCAUCUAAGCGUGAAACCUUCCUCAAGAUGAGUUUACUUUUAAGGGUCGUAAGAGACUAUUACGUUGAUAGGCUACAGGUGUACAGUUAGCAAUAACAAAGCCGAGUAGUACUAAUUGCCCGUAAGCUUUAAUUU